rnacentral:lncRNA from 1 species
CAAAAGUUUCUACGACCUUCAUAUUUCGGUUUGGUGGAAAGGACAUUAACACCAGGAAAUGGAGGUGAUAAGAAAAGGUGGUGUGGGUUGUGAACAUGUGGCCCGUAUAUUUCCAUGCCAACUCAAAGGAUAAGAUGAUCUAAAACCUUUCACCCCAUUGGAUGUCUCUGGCCCAACUUGUCCCAAAGCUCUCUGUUCCUCCCAGAAUUACCCAUAAUUCAUGCGGACACACCUUUCCUACAACUCCAACAUCAUCUCCUUCUCCCAACCUUCUCAAAAUCCUCUUAAGUUCCUUCACCUUAGACAGCCUUCUUCGAUGGUGACCAUAGCAACCAUGGUCAUGCUUCAUACCAAAUGCCUCAGCAUCAAAUGACCCUCCAACCACCUCAACCCUUCAAAGCCAACAAUGGGAAAGCCCAUUUCCCUCCUCUCACUUCAAACACUCCCAAAAGUGCUUGGGCUCGGCGGGGGACUGGCAGCGGCCAGGUUCAUGGCGACGCCCCAUGUGUUGGCUAGCAAGGUCAAGAUGAUCGCCGGUGCCACUUCUUCGAGUGACAGCAGCUCCUAUCUCCCUUGAUUGCUUUACUUUCCAUAGAUCCUUGAAAAAGAGAAAGAAAUGAAAAUAAAAAAAAAAAGAGAAAAAAAAAAAUACCCAACACAAAACCCCAGCCAUCGUCUAAGCUUUCAUAUUUGGCUGCUCCAUGCCUCCCAUCCGGUUGGGACUCUUAAGGAUGGAAAAUUAGAGAAAAAAUGGGGGAAUGUUAGCAAAAUUAAUCAUCAACAUACAUGCUUCAUCAUGAAUCUAGAAUCUUGAAUAAAAUUUCUAUAUUUAAAAAACAUCAUGAAUCUAGAAUCUUAAACAAAUUUCUCUAUCUAGAAAGCAUACCUGAUAUAGAAGAGAAGGAAGACAUCUCGUCAGGAGGAAGUGACCGCCUUGAUAAAUUGGUUUCUCUCCCCUAUCUCUUCUUUCUGUCACAGCCAUUUUGAU